AACGAACGCUGGCGGCAGGCCUAACACAUGCAAGUCGAGCGAGCAUUUCGGUGCUAGCGGCGGACGGGUGAGUAACGCGUGGGAACGUGCCCUUUUCUGCGGAAUAGUCCUGGGAAACUGGGGGUAAUACCGCAUACGCCCUUUUGGGGAAAGAUUUAUCGGAGAAGGAUCGGCCCGCGUUGGAUUAGGUAGUUGGUGGGGUAAUGGCCCGCCAAGCCGACGAUCCAUAGCUGGUUUGAGAGGAUGAUCAGCCACACUGGGACUGAGACACGGCCCAGACUCCUACGGGAGGCAGCAGUGGGGAAUCUUAGACAAUGGGGGCAACCCUGAUCGAGCCAUGCCGCGUGAGUGAUGAAGGCCUUAGGGUUGUAAAGCUCUUUCAGCUGGGAAGAUAAUGACGGUACCAGCAGAAGAAGCCCCGGCUAACUCCGUG
rnacentral:rRNA from 1 species